CUAAAUCUUGUGAAGAAUCCAGUGAAAUCAGUCUGAAGGAGGCAUAUGCUUAGUUGGCUCGGUGGGCUACCCAGGUUGUUCCUUAAAGAAAAGGAAGGGAAGCCAAAGACUAAGAAAAAUAAUCCCCUUUUCUUUUUUCCUGCUUUGACGACAAAUAAAAUGUAGACGGUCUUUCGACCAAUUUUGAUUGAUGAUUUUUUCUUUUUUCUUUUUUUUUUCUCCUCUCUUUGGUUUAUUGGGAUAAAAGGAGUGACGGUCUCAUGACCUAAUUUAAGAGUGUUAAUGUAUGUAAUGAAUAAAGUUUUUUUUUUUUAGUUUUAUUUUUCGAUACCGACUUCUUAAAAAUUGGAGGGUUCGAGGGGUUUUCC
rnacentral:lncRNA from 1 species